rnacentral:RNase_P_RNA from 3 species
UUAGUUGGUUGGAUGGUCGCUCCGUUUUUGGGGAGGAAAGUCCGGGCACUAUAGAGCAGGAUGGUUCCUAACGGGAACCGGGAGUAAAUUGUUUAUAUUUGUUCUUAAGACAAAUUUAAGCAAUGAAGCCUAGGGAAAGUACCACAGAAACAAAACCGCCUGCCAAUGCUUCGCAUUGGAAGCACUAAAUUCUAAGCACUAAAAACUAAAUAAAUAAUAAAUCCAAAAUCUUCUAAGAUUUAGAAAUUAGGAUUUCAAAAAUUGUUUAGUAAUUAGGAUUUAGAAUUUUCAUUGCGUAGCAAUGGCUGGUAAGGGUGAAAAGUGAGGAAGUAAGACGCCUCUCUCGUCAUGGCGACAUGAACGAGUGGCAAACCCCAUCCGGUGCAAGGCCGGUGGACCAAUUGAACUAACUAUCUGCUCGAUGGGGUUUAGGAGGUCCGGCCGCAUGAGGCUAAUGGCAACAUUAGUCCUAGAUAGAUGACCAUUAAAACAGAACCCGGCUUAUAGACCAACUAAGUAU